rnacentral:rRNA from 1 species
GAUGAACGCUGGCGGCGUGCCUAAUACAUGCAAGUCGAGCGAACAGACGAGGAGCUUGCUCCUCUGACGUUAGCGGCGGACGGGUGAGUAACACGUGGAUAACCUACCUAUAAGACUGGGAUAACUUCGGGAAACCGGAGCUAAUACCGGAUAAUAUAUUGAACCGCAUGGUUCAAUAGUGAAAGACGGUUUUGCUGUCACUUAUAGCUGGAUCCGCGCCGCAUUAGAUAGUUGGUAAGGUAACGGCUUACCAAGGCGACGAUGCGUAGCCGACCUGAGAGGGUGAUCGGCCACACUGGAACUGAGACACGGUCCAGACUCCUACGGGAGGCAGCAGUAGGGAAUCUUCCGCAAUGGGCGAAAGCCUGACGGAGCAACGCCGCGUGAGUGAUGAAGGUCUUCGGAUCGUAAAACUCUGUUAUUAGGGAAGAACAAAUGUGUAAGUAACUAUGCACGUCUUGACGGUACCUAAUCAGAAAGCCACGGCUAACUACGUG